CAGCGAGGGCAGGCGGCGAGCACCAUGGACGUCGCCUCCGGGCUGUUGGACCACUGCAGGCCGUGCUCGUUCUCCGACGACAGGCACGAGCUCGGCGACGACUCCUCGUCGGCGGCCAUCGCCCUCCUGGACGACGAGUCCCCUCUCGCCGGCAGCGAGAGGUUCAGCUUCAGGUCGAUGCCCCUAGAGCUCUUCUUGUUGCUGCGGCUCAUCCCGAUCGAGAGGUAAAGUCUCGGAGUUGAAGGCAACUAUGAAGGCAAGGUUGACCCAAAUGCGAGCUCAUAACUGUGCCACUAGGUUAUUGCUUAGUACAGGAUAUGGUAUAUAAAUGUAUCUUUGCACGUAUAUAUUGCCAUUAGUCGGUGUAUGGGGGCCAAACCCAUGUGCUCUUCUUUAAUUCCAUGGUGGCAUCUAAGGAGCUUAAUUAGAGAUUAUGAGUGAAAAAUAAUCUCCACUGAGUUUUCUCGCGCCUUCUUGUUGUGGUUGCAAAGGCAAUGAGCUCCAAUGCAAAAUAGUUGGAUAUAUUGCGAUUUCGCAUAAGGUACCAAGUUAUUGGCAAAAUUCACAAUUUAAUUACUUUUUAAACUCCAGCUGCUGUUC